rnacentral:rRNA from 1 species
CAGCCGCCGCGGGAAUACGUAGGGUGCGAGCGUUAAUCGGAAUUACCGGGCGUAAAGCGUGCGCAGGCGGUUGUGUAAGACAGGUGUGAAAUCCCCGGGCUUAACCUGGGAACUGCGCUUGUGACUGCACAGCUAGAGUAUGGCAGAGGGGGGUGGAAUUCCACGUGUAGCAGUGAAAUGCGUAGAGAUGUGGAGGAACACCGAUGGCGAAGGCAGCCCCCUGGCCAAUACUGACGCUCAUGCACGAAAGCAUGGGGAGCAAACAGGAUUAGAUACCCCCGUAGUCCCUGUCUCUUAUACA